AAAACCCUAAAAGUCAGGGACAAUUUCCCCUGUCCCAUCCACCCAUCGCCGCCACUCUCCACCCAGUCUCCUCGGGAUCAUCCCGGAUCUAUUUCCUCCAACCAGCAGCGCUCCCCCGAUUCUCCCUUUGAUCCAGCCGCCGCCCACCUUGUUUUCUCCGCCAAGACAUCCGGGGUCCAGUCGAUUCGUCGUGCAUGUCCUCCUGGACGCGUCCUCCGCAAGCAAGGAGCCUGAGGCACCCCGUUCGCGUGCUGUAGCGCCCCUGCAGCCGAGGCAGAGCCUCCUCCUGCCCGCGCCCUCGUCGGCUGGUCGCUUGAGGCGCCGCCCCGGGCCUGCGACCCCGCGCUGCUCACCGGGAACGUGUCCCUGUCGGCGAGCACCUCCCCCAGGCACCAUGGUAGCCCGAGGGGAGCUUCGCCCGCGUCGGUCGGGAGUCCUUCGUCGCGCCGCCGGUGAGAUCCGGCAUGGUUCCAGCUCGACCCCUCCUGUCGUUGCCAUCCAGGAGCACCUCAACCUCCUCCCGCCUCGUUCUUCACCACGACCAGCCAGCCCCAACGUCCCCAUGUCAUGGUGCCCAAGCUCGUGGCUCCCGGAGCUUCGUCGGACGCCUCCAGCACCGGGAACGAGGUCCCUUGCCCGCGCCUGCCUCCAACGUGUGUUCCACGAGCUCCCCUGCACCCGAGCCUCCCCUCGAGCAGUUCUGCAGUCCCCUCUCGAGCUCGCCCCAAGCUCGACCCCGCCGCCGCUGCCCAGCACCUGAGACCAACCUCUCCUCUGGCCGUGCCUGCGAGCAGCUGCUGGAGCCGCCGCGCCGCCCCGUCAGCCGACGAGGUCCUGGCCGCGCCUCCCCCCUUGCCCUUUCUUCUCCUCCCUCUAUUUUACCUCUGCUCUCUCUAAUAUCUGCAGGUCUCUAUCAGGAGCUCAUCCGUGGCCUCCCCUGCACGUCGCCGCCCCGGAUUGGCCUAGCCCCGAGGUCCUCGUUGCUGGGCCAGGAGAACCUCGUCGUCCUAGACCUCGCCGCCGUCGGGGACCAGCACUGAGGAACAGAACGAAGGUUGGUGCAGCCCCACCAUGGAUGCCCUUGCUGCCCUGCAACUCCCCAUCCGCCGUCGUUCUCCAAUGGAUCCGGUCGAUGCUUGCUAGGUCCGCCCAUUCCCGGCCUGGGACAGCCCCGUCGAAGCCUCCAAGUCCCUCCGGAUCGACGAUUGACCCCGUCUAGAACAGCCAUGGACGAGCAGUUUCAGUAAGAGUUCCGCAAGCGUGUCGGAUGUGAGGGCCGUUCGACUACGUCGGUUCGUCUGCUUCGCGGAGUCAUUCUUCUUCCAAGCGGGAUCUCAGGCAAGAUGAUCAUUUCCCCAGAUACCAUUACUAUCAUUGCCAUGCUAGUUUUACCGUUGCUAUCGUUUACGUCUCGUUGCCUACCACUUGUUAAAUAUCAGCCUCUCUACAAUGCCAUGAAACCAUCAACCUGUUCACCCUAGCAAACCACUGAUUGGCUAUGUUACUGCUUGCUUAACCCUGUUGAUAGCGUUGCUAGUUGCAGGUGCAUUGCUUCCAUGCAAAGCAUGGGUUCCUUGUUAUAUCACCAUAUUUUAUGCUUUAUAUUUCAAUGCACCUAUAUACCUGGUAAAAGGUGGAAGGCUCGGCCUUUCUAGCCUGGUGUUUUGUUCCACCUUUGCCCCCUUAGUUACGGCUACCGGUGUUAUGUUCCAUAAAUGAGCGCUCCUAACACGAUCGGGGUUGUUAUGGGGACCCCCUUGAUAAUACGUUUUAGAUUAAGGCUGGUCUGGCAAGGCCCAACUUUGGUACUACAUUUGCCUAAACACCUAAUAAAAUUGCAUAGGGACUUUCCGGACCCCGAGGAUAAUUUAAUCAACCCCCGGGCCAGUGCUCCUCAUGAGUGUUGGUCCAAAUUGGCAGACUACGGGGCCACCGCGGGGCAACCCGAGGUUUGGUACUCCUAGUGUGACCCAUCCGUCGUGUCCUGAGAACGAGGUACGCGACUCCUAUCGGGAUCGUCAACACGUCGGGCGGCCUUGCUGGAUUAGUUUUACCUUUGACGAAAUAUCUUGUGCAUCGGGAUUCCGGUGAUGCUUUGGGUAAUCUCAGAGUUGAGGUUUUCCUCUAGGGAAUCCGACGAGAUCGCGAGCUUCGUGAUUGAGGAUUUCUAUGCGGCUUGUGGUAAUUUGUGAUGGACUAGUUGGAGCACCCCUGCAGGGUUAAAUCUUUCGGAAAGCCGUGCCCGCGGUUAUGUGGCAACGUGGAAGCUUUGUUUAACACUGGUUCUAGAUAACUUGAAGUUAACUUAAUUAAAACAUGCCAACUGUGUGCGUAACCCUGACUGUCUCUUUCGUGAGUUCCUUCUCCGAUAGAGGACACGGUGGGGUUAUGUCUGACGUAGGUAGGUGUUCAGGAUCAUUCUUUUGAUCAUCUGUAAUGACGUCCGUUAUGCGUAGAUCUCCCCCCCCCUCUUAUUUCUUGUACUCGUAAGUUAGCCACCAAAUAUAUGCUUAAUCGCUGCUGCAACCUCACCACUUAACCAUACCUUACCCAUUUAGCUUUGCUAGUCUUGAUACCUUUGGAAAUGAGAUUGCUGAGUCCCCUGUGGCUCACAGAUUACUACAACACCAGAUGCAGGUACAGGUAAAGGUUACUCGAUGUGAGCACGUUGAUUGUUCAUUUGGAGUUGCUUCUUCAUCUUCUUCUUCUUCUUCGAUCUAGGACGGGUUCCAGGCCGGCAGCCUGGGAUAGCAAGGAUGGACGUCGUUCUUGUUUUGUCGUUUAUUUUCGUCCGUAGUCGGACCCUGCUCUUACUCUUGAUGAUUAUGUAAUGUACUGAUGUGACUCUGAUGUAGCUUGUGGCGAGUGUAAGCCAAUUCUAUAUAUCUCUUCU